ACAGUUCUACUGGCUGGUUUUGCCGGCUGUAGACUGAAUAAAUAUAGACAACUCUCAACAACGGAUAUCUUGGCUCCCGUAACGAUGAAGAACGCAGCGAAAUGCGAUACGUAGUGUGAAUUGCAGAAUUCCGUGAACCAUCGAAUCUUUGAACGCAAAUUGCGCUCGAGGCCUCGGCCAAGAGCAUGUCUGCCUCAGCGUCG
rnacentral:rRNA from 1 species